CAACCAUCAAAUUUGGCAUGUUUGACCUGGUUUCAACAAGCAUAAUAAUGUUGGAGAUGGGGAUGAUGACAGACCAGCCAGCCGAACUCAAAUUGGAUUAGACAUCAUGCGCCACCUGGUUGCUGAAGCUCGAGAGGACCUUUAUGGACAACAAAUCCUGUUCAAGAUAGUUCUGUCUGGAAUUCCAUACCACCUCCAGAGAAUGGAAAAUGUCCUCAAAUUCUGAUGUGCCAGCAGCCUGAAGUGGUCAAACAAUUUGAAACUGGAUGCAGCACAGAAUCCCAUAUUUUAAGAGAAUGCAGAUGUUAGUCACCCCUGUCAAAUUUGUUUUUGUGAAUAAUACAAAAUGUGACAUUUACAGCAAAUAUGUAAUAAUUGAGCAACGUAUAGACAGUUGCAAAACUCUGUUCUGUUAAUUUUGUGUCAUAUUUAGCAUUUAAAACCAGAUACUUUCAGUUUUUGCCGGUUUGUUCUUUUAUUCCUGAUUUUUUUCAAGAAGACACCAGUUCGGUGUAUAGUAGUUAUGGUGUUUUAACUGUCAAUGAAUCCAAGAUCACUGUAUGUUGUUGAACUGAUAUAUAUGUUAAACAUUGAAGAUCCAGCUGCCAGCACAGAAAACAUUGAUUGUGCUUUUGAGAACGCUGAAUUUUAUCAACAUAAUUUGACACUGUACAUAUUGCAAGCAUUUUUUCAAAUCUAUAUAAAUUAAUAGUAGAUAACUGUAGCCUUAUUUUGUGCAUAUUAACAUAUGUGAAUAGUUGAAUAGCCUCAUGAUGUCAUUCUGAAUAAAUUAUAUAAUAUAAUCAUUUUAAUUGUUUCAAUUGUUUUCAUAUAUAAAUGGUUUUGGUACUGAAAUUUGGUCUUGCUCUAUUGGCUUGUACACUCAACAAAUAUAAAAAAAUAUAUGAAAUAGUGCUUAUUGAACUCAGCUGACAGUUUUUCACUGGGUUCUUAUUUGGGUGUGUUCCAACAAUAUCACUGACUUGAUUACUUUUAUUGUAUAUUCUAUAUAGGUGCUAAAUUUAGAAUAUAUUUUCAGCUCUGUUGAAUGUUGAUUGUAAUUGCAAUUUAUCAUUUCUUUUUAGAUCACCCUGUGGGAUAAACAUUAUGUGAGGGUUAGAAGUCAUUUGUUUGUAAUUACACCUUGAAAGCAUCGUUAAGAUAAUUCUGUAAUUAAAGAAGAAUUGUAUUUGCCCUUAAAAUCUAAACAACACAUUUGUUCAUAAUUUAUUUAACAUUUUGCAACUUUUUUGGCGGGGGUGUGGUGUAUGUUUUUGUAACAAACAAAUAAGAAUAUAUUCUGUAUUCUCACUGAGAUAUUUUGCAGACAAUUUUCUAGAGCUGCUUGGCUACAUAUUGUUCAUAUAUACAAUCAUAAUUAUAAGUAAUUUAUUAAAUGUUUUGCCAUGUUUUACCAUCAUAUUUAAAUAUAUUUUUGCCCAUUCAAUUAUAGUUAAAAUUAUAAUUACCCCUGUUUGUAAUAUACUUCAGUGCAACAUUAUUGAUAUGUGAUCAUUUUUAGCUUGACUAUUCGAUGAAUAAGGGGAGCUAUCCUAGUCACCAGCGUGUCAGCGUCAGCAUUACCACUUAUGUUAAAGUUUGCGUACCACCUCAAUUAUUUUCAAAGUCCAUUGACAUACUGUUUUGAAACUUCGCACGCUUGUUAACCAUCAUGCUCCAAACAUGUACGCAGGAGGAGGUCACUGUAUCGAGCAUUUUGACAGAAUUAUGCCCCUUUAUUUACUUAGAAUUUACGUAUAAGUUUGCGUACCACCUCAAAUAUUUUCAAAGUCCAUUGACAUCUGGCUUUGAAACUUUGCACGCUUGUUCACAAUCAUUCCCCCAACCUGUACACAGGAGGAGGUAACUCAAUCAAGCAUUUUGACAAAAUUAUGCCCCUUUUUCAACUUACAAUUUAUGUUAAAGUUUGCGUACCACCUCAAAUAUUUUCCAAUUCAAUUAAUGUAAAUAUCUCAGCACAUCAUGUAUUGCAUUGAAAUCUUAUAUAACAGUGAUCAAUGCAUGUUUCUCCAAAACUUUUCAGUCCAUACACCGAAAAGCGGUGGAAUAGUCGAGCGCGCUGUCUCUGUGACAGCUCUUGUUUUUAUUUAUUUUCUGUUUGUAACAUAUUCCUCAAAUACGUGUGUGUA